rnacentral:rRNA from 1 species
UACGUAGGUGGCAAGCGUUGUCCGGAUUUACUGGGCGUAAAGAGCGCGCAGGCGGUCGUUCAAGUCGCGUGUGAAAGCCCCCGGCUCAACUGGGGAGGGUCACGCGAUACUGAUCGACUCGAAGGCAGGAGAGGGUAGUGGAAUUCUCGGUGUAGCAGUGAAAUGCGUAGAUAUCGAGAGGAACACCAGUGGCGAAGGCGAGUCUCUGGACAUUUCCUGACGCUGAGGCACGAAAGCCAGGGGAGCAAACGGG